UACGAAGGGGACUAGCGUUGUUCGGAAUUACUGGGCGUAAAGCGCACGUAGGCGGAUUCGUAAGUCAGGGGUGAAAUCCCGGGGCUCAACCUCGGAACUGCCUUUGAUACUGCGGGUCUUGAGUCCGAUAGAGGUGGGUGGAAUUCCUAGUGUAGAGGUGAAAUUCGUAGAUAUUAGGAAGAACACCGGUGGCGAAGGCGGCCCACUGGAUCGGUACUGACGCUGAGGUGCGAAAGCGUGGGGAGCAAACAGG
rnacentral:rRNA from 1 species